rnacentral:rRNA from 1 species
UACGUAGGGGGCAAGCGUUGUCCGGAUUUAUUGGGCGUAAAGAGCGUGUAGGCGGCCAGGUAGGUCUGCUGUGAAAACUCGAGGCUUAACCUCGAGAUGUCGGCGGAAACCAUCUGGCUAGAGUCCGGAAGAGGAGAGCGGAAUUCCUGGUGUAGCGGUGAAAUGCGCAGAUAUCGGGAGGAACACCGGUGGCGAAGGCGGCGUUCUGGACUGCAACUGACACUGAAAAACGAAAGCCAGGGGAGCAAACGGG